AGAGUAACUGUGUAAUCCUGGCUAAUUUGGUAGGCCAUGGAAUUGAAAGAAAUCUGCCUGCCUCUGCCUCAAGUGCUGGGAUUAAAGAUUACCCACAGAGCCCAUAUGUUACCCAUACAAUGUGGGGCCAUACACUUGAGCAUAGUCAACCUGCCAGGAGCUACACUGUUAAGGAAAACUGACUCUUCCUUUCCCAGAGGUCAUUAACAGUCAAUAACUCCUCAGUUAGGGGAAGGGAGUCCCGACCCUCUUCCCUUGAGGGGCUGGAGAGAGAUGGCUCAACAAAGAGCACUUGCUGCUCUUGCAGAGGACUGAGUUUGGUUCCCAGACUACACAUUGGGCUCCAGAGAAUCCAAAGUCCUUGUCUGUUUUCCACAGGUACCUGCAUUCAUUUGCACAGACCCACACACAUAAUUAAAAUAAAAGAAGUCUUAAAACAAACAAGCCUUGUUCCAAUGUUUUGUAAUAUUAAAGUUUGGACAGUAUGACUUAAACAUGUUUCUUCUUUUAGCUGAGCGUGGUAGCACAAGCCUUUAGUCUC